GACAGUUAAAAUGAGGUUUUGCAUCGACAUUCACCCUCAUAAAAGGAUCAGUUCCCACAGUACGGACCCGGCAACUGCACAUGAGUCAGCGAUCUUCCAAGCAAUGCACCUGAAGCUGUUCAACGACACAUUCAGAAGACGCACGGUCCUUCCUUGAGCCAGCAAUAGUGCAUACAUUUUAUUUAUAUAUUUUAAGAAUAAAGUUGCCAUUUGUGAAAA